CCAAUAGCGUAUAUUAAAGUUGUUGCAGUUAAAAAGCUCGUAGUUGAAUUUUGGGGUUAGUAGGUUGGUUAUGCCUCUGGUAUGCACUGGUCUCACUGAUUCCUCCUUCCUGAUGAACCGUAAUGCCAUUAAUUUGGUGUUGCGGGGAGACUGGACUGUUACUUUGAAAAAAUUAGAGUGUUUAAAGCAGGCUAACGCUUGAAUACAUUAGCAUGGAAUAAUGAAAUAGGACGUUCGAUCCUAUUUUGUUGGUUUCUAGGAUUGACGUAAUGAUUAAUAGGGAUAGUUGGGGGCAUUAGUAUUCAAUUGUCAGAGGUGAAAUUCUUGGAUUUAUUGAAGACUAACUACUGCGAAAGCAUUUGCCAAGGAUGUUUUCAUUAAUCAAGAACGAAAGUUAGGGGAUCGAAGACGAUCAGAUACCGUCGUAGUCUUAACCAUAAACUAUGCCGACUAGGGAUCGGAUGAUGUUAAUUUUUUAAUGACUCAUUCGGCGCCUUACG
rnacentral:rRNA from 1 species